CUGGCUGGACAGAUUGUCCCAAAGAGGUGGUGCCCAGGAUCUAGACUGGAAGUCAGCAACUGACCCGGUGAGGGCUGUAGGAGCUCCAGCCGCGGUGCCCGCACUAAGAAUGACUACCAUGCUGGAGGUCUUGCUGUUUCUUUUCGUCCUCCUCAUCUGCUUCUUACUGCUCCUCUGUUACUGCAUCUUUCAAGAGGAAUAAGCUCCAUCUCCUCCAGUCGGGGAACAUGUGCUGGUUUGCCCAGAAGCACAUCUCCGUCCAUCUUCUACUGAAGACAGGAAGGACUGCUACAUAUGGUUGUGCAGGUUGUGUACUGCCCAACUCAUGGAAGCACCAUUUACAUCAUAGUCUCUGGCUGAGAAGCAGAGAUGUUGAGGAUGCUUGGCUGAACCCAGAAAACGCUUGAUGUUUUCCUAGCACAUCCUCUGGUACAGCAGAGUGACCCUGUGUUUUACCUUCUUGAGGGGGGUUUCAAAAAUCCCCAUUCUAAUCCUCAAAUGGUGGGCCCUUCUAAUAAAGACCUUUGUGACUAUCUCUGAAGGGCAACAUUUUGGCAGAACUUUUCCCUUCAAGCUUAAUGAGGUCAGGCAGAAGAUAAUUAAACUUGUGACAGGGAAGAAGAGAAAGGUUUGCAAGGAGUAGAGGGGCUUUCUGAGAAAAUUCAGCCCUUAACUCUAGGACCUCUGAUACUCAAACUCUCAAUUCUCAAAGUUAACUUCACAGCCAAAGGAUAGGCGCUUCCACCCUUUUCAUAGCUCUGGGAGAAGUCACCCAUCUUAGAGGUCUCUCAUCUCAUGAGGGGGUUGGAGGAUGUCACAUGCACAGGUCACCCCUCAGGGCCUCUGUGGUCUACCUGUGCUUGGGAUGCUUGGCCAAGACCCAGCUCCUUCCUGGGUGAGCUGACUGGGCAGGUACUACCCAGUGAGGCAGUGGGCGGAGAGCCUGCAGCCAGCGGUGAAAGGAAGAAGACUGAAGCUGGCAGAGCUGGGUCCUAUGUCCACCUGUCACCAUUGACAAAGGCUGCUUCCACCUGAAAUUAGCCAAUAUUUUUUUAGGAUGUUUAUAUCUACAAUCAUGAGUGUAUUGGCCUGUAAUUUACUUUUCUUUUACUGACCCUGUCUAAUUUGGGGGUCAUGAAAAUUUUGUGAACUAAGCACCGUUCCAUCUUUUUCUCCUAUCUGGGAGACUGUGUAAGGCUGCGAAGCUUUGUAGAAUUUAUCUAUAAAGACGCCUGGCUAUGAUGUUUUCUUUUUGGGGAGAUCAUUAACUACUGAUUCAAUCUUUAAAAGUGUUAUAAGAUUAUCCAGGUUUGCUAUUUUUCCUUAAGGCAAUUUGGUUAAAUAUUUUCUAGGAAUGUAUCACUUUAUCUAAAUUUUAAAUUUUACAAGCAAAAAGUCAAACAUAUUAUUCACUUUUUUACUUUCUGCUCCGACUAUACCAUGUCCCCUUUCUCACUCCUGAAAUUGUUUAGCUAUGUUGCUGUAAAUAUGGUUAUGCUCAAUUCUACCAUUUUAGUCUCUGUUCUUGUUAUUUCAUUGAUUUUAAUUUAUUUGGAUCAGUUCAACUGUCAUUUGUCUCAUCUUUCAAGCCCUCAGGAGCCAAGAGCAGACUGGGACACAUGGAAUUUUUCUUACAUUUCAGAAUUGAGUCCCUCUCCUGUUGCAACAAUGAGAGUGUCUCUUUCUUCUCUUGUCUCAGUAUUAAAGAUCCUCUAUUACAGACCGUGCAAUGAGAUGUCGAGAUAUUGCCCCAUCCAGUUCCUAACUUCUUCACACAUCAACACAUGCGUCCACUCCCCCACCCCUUCCCCCACUUCAGCUGCUGAGACUUCCUCUUCCUCCCUUUCCCUGAACAUCUUGCUAUUCCUCCUUUCUAUUUGAGUCCUUCAAAAUCCCACCAAGGCACAACACCUCCCAGAAGCCACAUUAUUUGGAAAUUGAUUGAAGUCUGACUCUACUCACAGCUCCAUAACUAGCCUCCGAGCUCCUUUAGGAUCCACGCUUCCUCACACUCAAGAUACAAAAUCAAGGAAGAAAGCAUCAUUUUCCCAGCUUGGGUCCCACAUCCAAUCCGUCGUCAGGGGAGGGCAGGACUCUCUCAGUGACACUCUCAACAAGACUGAAUUCAACAGGAAGAGUGAAUGCCAGAAGAAAAUCAGAGUGAAGGAGUAGAUAGGUCAAAACUACAGAUAUCCUAGCCAUUUAAUAUCCAGAGUCAUGUGAGAAUAGGCGGUUUGUUGGUCCUAGUUUUUCUAAGGGAGCCUCUAAAGUUUCUCCUUGAAACAUAAUGUUGUUGGCUGGUGAUGGUCUGGAUCACAUGAUGAAAAUAUCCCUUUAGUCCAAGUACUCCAAAAUAUACUUUUCUGAACAGUAAUAGAAAUUAAAUAUUAUCAAACACAUUUUCAAGCACCUAUUAAGUUGCUCUUAGAUUUGCUUUCCUGUUUGAAUUUAGAUUCUGAUACCUACUGUUAGGAGAGGCAGUCUGCCAUGGACCCUGAGCAUCUAUGUACAUUCCUGCUGGGUUUGCCAAGAAUGUAAGGCCCUGGCUGCUGUUUUCCUGGGCCGUCUCUUAGCGUCAUGUUUUGCAGUGAGUAACCUUGAGGGAUGAGGUAAAGUCUCCUCUCAGACUAACAGCAGGCUUACUUCUCUUUCCUUUAAAGAUGUUGAAUUCUGCAAGCUCACUGUCCUCUCCUGUAACACUGUAACACAGUGUGCGUGCAGGCAUUCAUCACGGGCCCUAUGCCAUCCCCAUGGGACUUGUGAGGCAUAAGAACCAACGUGAAUGUGAAGCUCCCUCUGCUUUGCCAUGAGUAACAGAGUCCUUGAACCCUGACUCAGGAAUUUCACGUCCUCUUCCAGCAGCCAUGAAACAAUAACAGGCUAACUCUUUAGCUUGAAAGUAGGGCUAACUCUCAGACUAUGCACAGUUCUUAACACAUAUUAACUGCAUGACCUUGGACAAGUCAAUUAAACUUUCUGAGCUUUUGUUUCCUCAUCAGCAAAGUGGACAACACUAGUGUUUACCUUUUAAGAUUGGUAUGAUGACUAAAUGGAUCAAAAUACCUGAAAUAUUGUGUUUUCUCAAAAAAUAUUAGACGCUAUACUUGUAUUCCCUGUAGUGUUGACAGAGGGGCAUGGCAGUGACAGAUGUCAUACUAUGACAAACACAGUUGAUCUGCCUCCGUGAACUUCACAUCUUCACACUGUUUUACUUUCUACAUAUAUUCCUGAGCAUAGUCUGCUAAUAUUUUCAUGCCUGGCUCCUUCUUUUCCAUCAGGUUUUAGAUUAAAUAUCUCCUCAGAGAGGCCCCUGCUGUCCUUGCUAAGUAGGUCCCCACUGUCAUUGUCUGCUAUACCAUCCUGCCCAUUUGCUUUGUAGCACUUGUCAUGAUUUUCAUGAUUGCAUUUGCUGACUCAUUUGUUUAUUAUCCCCACUAGAAUAUAACCGACAAAGUCAGAAACCACGUCUGUCUUCUUUAGUAUAUUUCCAAUGCUUAGCCCAGUCCCUGAUUUGAAGUAGCUGCUCAGUAGAUUUUUCUGGAUGGAUGGGAAUCUAGAUAAACAGAUUGAUGAGAGGAUAAAUGGAUGGAUGAGCAGAUGGAUGGAUGGAUGGAUGGACGGACGGACGGAUGAGGAAGCUGGUGCUCCAUAAACGUUUUCUGGAUAAAGGGAUGGAUGGAUGGGUGGGAUGGUUGGAAGAUGGAGGGAUGUUUGGAUACUUGGCAAGUCAGAUUUUCAGCUCCGAUCCUCUAGGGGGCGCAAAGGGACUGCAUGCGCAGGUUCGGCCCAGGGAGACACGGCUCUCCGCCGCAGCCUGAGCGCCAGCCGCAUUUCCUCCGGCGCAGGGCGGGUGGGGGCCGUGUCCUGAUCUUGUGGCUCCCGUCCCGAGCUGUCCCAAACCAUCCCGCAGCUUCUCGCGCCGUCCCUUCUGACCCGUCGCCGACAGUUCUGGCCCCUUGGGUGAGUCACUGCUGGACCACGUCGCACUGGAACCCCCGGCGGCCUCCAGGGCCGGAGCUGCGUCCCCCUGCCCCGACAGGAGGGGAAACUGAGGCCGUGCGGGGGCGGGGAGAGCGGCCAGUGGUCAGCUCCCAGCCCAGGCCCGCCCCGGUUCCGUGCCCGCCCCCUCGGCCGGGGUGGUCCUCUCGGGAUUCGUGUCCUCGAGAAAGGGGCCCGCAGGGCAGCCCCCGCUGCUCCGGAGCCGCGGGCGUGCGGUCCCCCGAUCUCAGCGCCCGGUGGGAGGACUCGUCCCGCUAACGGCGAGAGACGGGCCCGGCGACGCGUGGCCCGAGGGCCCGCAGGGCGCCGUGCGGAGCCCGGGUGAAGCGGGCCGGAGGGCGCCGAGCCCGCGAUCCUCUCCGCCCCACCUCCUCGCCUCCUGGCGUUCGAUCCCCCAGGGCCCCUCGGCGCUUCCUACCAGGCCCUGCGGCUGCCGAGCUCGCGGAGAGAUGGGACCUCGGCCUCGGACGGCUGAGCGGGCUCUGCGUCCGCCGGCGCCCCCUGCUCUCCUGCGGGGCUCUGACCCGCGCUGCCCGACGCGCCCUCCGUGUCCAGCGACUGAGGCUGUGCCCUGGCUCAGCGCCUGGUGGGGGUCCAGUGUUCACCAGUUGUGAACAAAUGCACAAGAGAGAAGAAAAGGAGAGACACAUCCUUGUAAGGUGGCAUGGCCUCAUCACGUUGUGGAAGAUCAGAGAAAGACUACGUGGGAGCCAACCAGAGGGAGAGGGGGCAGCUCGGUGCAGAGGGGCCCUUGAGAGGUGUCUCCAUCCUGUCAGGAAGCAGCUGGACCACAGUGCUCCCAAGAUGAGUCCACUGUGUGCCAAGGUGGUCAUGGGAGUUAUCAUGUCAGGAACAUUCUAGACCCCAGUGUCCUUGAGGGGUGCUGCUGUAGAUCUGGAGCUCGUUGGAGGAAGCCUCAAGGGGUUGGACGCACUGGCCCUCUCAGGAUGCUUACCUGGGUCCCAGUUCUCCUGGAGAGGCCUCCUCGUGAUUAUUUUGGAGUUCAUCACAGACACUGGUGUAGCAGAGUGAAGAGUGAUGUUGCCACAUGACACCUCGCCAGACCUUCUAACCCUGUUGUAUCAGCAAAACAUAGGAGGACUUUUCCCUCAGCGUGAGUGGAUACAUGAGGCUUAUGUCCAGAGCUGGCUCUGCCCUUCCCCAGCAGUGUCGCAGAGCGUCAUGGACCAAGAAGACUGGUUUCCUUUCGUCUGGGCCAGGUCAUUCAGUGGCCUCCAUGUCCCCCUGUCCUCCAGUGUAACUUUUUAGAGCCAAGAGUUUUCUGUGCUUUGUAUCCUUGUCCUCUCACCCACCAAAUAAAUCUUGAAACUGCCCCGUU
ensembl:lncRNA